rnacentral:rRNA from 1 species
UACGUAGGGGGCUAGCGUUGUCCGGAAUCAUUGGGCGUAAAGCGCGCGUAGGCGGCCAGAUUAGUCCGGUGUGAAAGUCAGAGGCUCAACCUUUGAAUGCCGCUGGAAACUGUCUGGCUUGAGUCCGGAAGGGGCGAGUGGAAUUCCUGGUGUAGCGGUGAAAUGCGCAGAUAUCAGGAGGAACACCAAUGGCGAAGGCGGCUCGCUGGAACGGUACUGACGCUGAGGCGCGAAAGCGUGGGGAGCAAACAGG